rnacentral:rRNA from 1 species
AACGAACGCUGGCGGCAGGCCUCAAACAUGCAAGUCUAGGGGGUGUAGCAAUACAUCACCGGCGGACGGGUGCGUAACGCGUGGGAAUAUACCUAUCGAUUCGGAACAACUGAGGGAAACUUCAGCUAAUACCGAAUACGUCCUAACGGAGAAAGAUUUAUCGUCGAUAGAUUAGCCCGCGUUCGAUUAGCUAGUUGGUGGGGUAACGGCCCACCAAGGCGACGAUCGAUAGCUGUUCUGAGAGGAAGAUCAGCCACACUGGGACUGAGACACGGCCCAGACUCCUACGGGAGGCAGCAGUUGGGAAUCUUGGACAAUGGGGGAAACCCUGAUCCAGCCAUGCCGCGUGAGUGAUGAAGGCCUCCGGGUUGUAAAACUCUUUCGCGCACGACGAUAAUGACGGUAGUGCGAGAAGAAGCUCCGGCUAACUUCGUGCCAGCAGCCGCGGUAAU